UACGGAGGGUGCAAACGUUGCUCGGAAUCAUUGGGCGUAAAGCGCACGUAGGCGGUCCAGCAAGCGGGGAGUGAAAUCCCUCGGCUUAACCGAGGAAGUGCUUUCCGAACUACUGGACUUGAAUACUGAAGAGGAUCGCGGAAUUCCCGGUGUAGAGGUGAAAUUCGUAGAUAUCGGGAGGAACACCAGUGGCGAAGGCGGCGAUCUGGGCAGAUAUUGACGCUGAGGUGCGAAAGCGUGGGGAGCAAACAGGA
rnacentral:rRNA from 1 species